AGGCAUGCCAGAAGCAAAAGUGAACAAUAUCACUUCCGUAAGGCAGCGAAUAAAACAGUCCUACUGCGCACUAAAUGCAGGGGCGCAUGCUCUUCCCGCCUUUUAAUGAUAUACGGAGAUUCCCGCUUCCUUUCAGACACAUUUCAACUUCAGAUGACGCCCUGGGAACGGUGAAGUUAACUUCUGACUAAACUAAGUUAUUUCGGAAAACUCAGAAACAUGUGCUCUUUGUGUUGCCCCAGCACGAGGCAGUAUUGAAUCCAGUUUAAUUAUAUAUAUAUAUAGGUUUAUUUAGUAUUGUUGUAUAGACACUUGUUGGAAAUUGAAACGCUUAAUGGAAUUUUUAAAAAAAAUAAUAAACCAAAUGUUUGUUUUUUUCGUAAGGAUUUGAAUAUCUUUUUCGAUUUUGGGAUGGAAAUUCUUAUGAGAAAGUGUUUUGGACAAUUUAUUUGUUUGUUGGUCAUUGCUGUUUUAGCUUCCAGGGCAGAUAAACUAGAUCGCCGCUCUCUAGUCUUUGUGAAUGAGCCAUCAGAACACAUAGAUUUUUAUAAUACAACUGGAGCCGUGAUUCCAUGCACUUCAAGGGGUAAUCCAGCUCCCACAAUGAGAUGGGAAACAAGAGAUGGCAAUCCUAUUAAAGACGUUCCCGGAUUGAGGCAUAUUCGUCCCGAUGGGUCUUUAGUCUUUUCUCCUUUCCAUGCCGAUCAUUACAGACAAGAUGUACAUGCAUCAGUGUACAGAUGUACUGCAUCAAAUGCAGCAGGUACUAUUGGUUCCAGAGAUGUUCAUGUAAGAGGAAUGGUCAAGCAGCCUUACAAAAUUCAAGUAUUUGAUGAAUAUACAGUGAGUGGAAACACAGCUGUGAUGAGAUGUAGUAUCCCAAGCUUCAUGAAAGACUAUGUUAUUGUUACUUCAUGGGUACGCGAUGAUUCAAGAACAAUUGUUGCAUCACCUGAUAAAGGUGGAAGAUAUAGCAUUUUCCCAACGGGCGAGCUACAUAUUAGAAAUGCAAAUAUUGAAGAUGGCUUCAAAAGUUAUCGAUGCGUCACCAGAAAUCGUCUUACUGGAGAAGUUGCUCCAAGUUCAGCAGCCGGAAAACUUUUCGUCACAGAUGCUCGGAGCAGCGUUUCACCGAGAAUAACACACAGUCAGCCCAAAAUAGAAACUGAAGUAGGCCAUACAGUAGAGCUUCCCUGCGCAGCCCAAGGGUAUCCCGUACCAAGAUAUUCGUGGUACAGACUACGCGAUGGUCCUUCACAUGUAAUAAAAAGAAUUGAUACAUCCAAUCAAAGGAUUACUGAACUCAAUGGUACGCUUUUAAUUCGAAAAGCUAAUAUUCAAGAUGGUGGUAAAUAUGUCUGCAUUGUGAACAAUACAAAUGGACAGGAGAGAGCUGAGACAGACCUUUUAAUAAGAGACAGACUUCAAGUCCGGGCACUUCCUCCAUCUCAAACUGUGGAUGUCGGUAAAACUGCAAUAUUUACGUGUAAUGUUUCCGGGCAUCCGGUACACAUUAUUAGUUGGAGAAAAGAUAUGGUUCCUGUUUUGUCAUCACGUCGAAUAUCUGUUUCCAGAGAAGAGCUGAGAAUAAGUCCUGUUGAAAGAGAAGAUCGGGGGAUGUAUCAAUGUUUUGUUUAUAAUGACAAAGAAUCUGUACAAGAUGCAGCUCAACUUGUUUUGGGAGAUGUUGCUCCUGUUUUAAAACACACAUUCGAACCAUCGACCGUGGAACCUGGGAGUCCACUUUCAUUAAAAUGUAUUGCCUCAGGGAAUCCAUUACCUCAAGUCACGUGGACUUUAGACGAUCUUCAAAUUCCAGAUCAUAUGCGGUUUUCCGUUGGAGAUUACGUCACGUCAAGAGCGGAGGUUGUUAGUUUUGUCAACAUCAGUAGUCUCCGCGUGGAAGAUGGAGGCGUAUACAGAUGCUUAGCUACAAAUGAAAUUGGAUCUUUAAGCCAUUCAGCCAAAAUAAACGUCAUUGGUCCCCCUUUUGUCCGAAUAAUGAAGGACAUUGCUGCUGUUGAAGGUGAAGUUCUCAAUGUUCGUUGCCCUGUAGCUGGUUAUCCCGUGGAAGAAGUCUAUUGGGAAAAAAAUGGGAGAAGAAUACCGUUCAAUCAUCGUCAGAGAGGUUUUAAGAAUGGAACAUUAAUUAUUCGAGAAAUUGACCGAAGAAGUGACGGAGGAGAAUACAGAUGCAUUGCAAGAAAUAGUCAAGGUCAGAAAGGUGAAAGGACGCUUAAUAUAAGAGUUUUAACUCCGCCAGUUAUCGAGCCCUUCCACAUACCUGAAGCCAUCGAAGAAGGCGCUAGGUCAAAAUUGCUGUGCUCCGUCACCAAAGGAGAUCCUCCUAUAACGAUACAAUGGUUGAAGGACGGCAAGCCACUGACACAGGAUUUAGGAGUGACAGAAACUACUUUGGAUGAAUUUUCUAAGGCCAUGUUAUUCACUCGGGUUGAAUUGAGACAUAAAGGAAAUUACACGUGCAUUGCUAGGAACCUGGCAGCAUCCGCCAGUUUCACUGCAGCAAUGGUAAUCCACGCGCCUCCCAGAUGGACAACGGAACCUCCUCACACUGAAGCAGUUCUAGGAUCAGACGUCAUACUCAACUGUGUCGCAGAUGGAUUUCCUAAACCUCAAAUACUUUGGAAGAGAGCAGAAGACACGUUGCAGAGUGACUACAACACGCUGCUAACAGAUGCCCACAUUCACACAUUAGUGAACGGUUCCCUAUCGAUUCGAAACGUUGAAAAGACCGACGAAGGAUUUUAUAUGUGCCAAGCAUCCAAUGGUAUCGGAUCUGGAAUAAGCACGGUCAUUACUUUAAACGUGCGCGUUCCGGCCCAUUUUAAGGAGGAGUUCUUAGCAGAAACUGUUAGGCGCGGUGAAAAAGUCGUUGUAAAGUGUCAAGCAUUUGGUGAUAGGCCGAUAUCAGUUACAUGGAAAAAGGACGGACAAUUGUUAGACAAGCAAGCAGAAAAAAAGUACACUAUUGAUGAAACCAUGACCGAUGAAGGGGUAACAUCAGAAGUUCAUAUUGUUUCAGCCGACAGAAGAGAUUCUUCUUUGUUUACCUGUGUAGCAGAAAACUCAUUUGGAAAAGAUGAAAUGAAUAUACAAAUCAUAGUUCAAGAAAGACCUGAUAAACCAUUUAAAGUAACGGCCCAUGAAAGUACCAGCAGAACAAUUUCGAUAUCUUGGUCCCCUCCUUACUCAGGAAAUAGCCCUAUUUUAUCAUACACCAUUCAAUAUAAACCAAGCUCAGGAUCGUGGAAAGAUGAUUCAAAAGACCUCACUGCAUCGGGAGCUGAUAGUAAAGCUUCUAUUGCCGGACUUCUUCCUGCGACAACUUAUCAUUUCCGAGUAAUGGCAGAAAAUUCGUUUGGAAAAAGUGAUUUUAGCUCUUAUGUAUCAGCGACAACUGAUCUAGAAGUGCCUGGAGGACCCCCUUUAAAUGUUCAGGCCGAUGCAGUUGGAUCACACACACUAAGAGUAACAUGGCAACCUCCAGCACUCGAAUUACAGAAUGGAAGAUUAACUGGGUAUUAUGUUGGCUACAAAGUUCAUGGUUCUUCAAAACCUUAUACCUACAAGACGCUUGAAAUUACUGAUGCCUUUCGCAGUGAAUGCUUGAUUACAAAUCUAAAGCGACUUACUACCUAUAGCGUCAUAGUUCAAGCAUUUAAUCGUCGUGGUGCGGGUCCUCCUUCAGAAGAAAUUAAAGUUAAAACAAAAGAUAAUGAUCCACCUACCAAUCCAAUCAUGAAUGAGCUGGCAACCUCACACACAUCAAUUCAAAUUGAAUGGAAGAUUAGACCUUCAACUUCAAGUCCUAUUGAAGGUUUCCGUUUAUAUUCCAAGCGAGAUUUUGGAGGUUGGCAAGAAAUACAAGUCCCUGGAAACAAACGAGAGCAUACUUUCGAAGAUUUACAAUGCGGCACCCGAUAUCAUUUUUAUAUGACUGCCUUUAAUGAAGUCGGCGAAGGUCUUCCCAGUGAUACGGUUACAGCCAAAACGCUGGGGGUAGCUCCUAUUGCCCCCAGCCAGAAUUUAUUUUUACGAACAAAUGCUACUCAUGCAUUUUUAUACUUAAACAAAUGGAAUGAUGGUGGAUGCGCUAUCACGUUUUUUGUCAUCCAGUAUAGAUUAGAAAACCAGAAAGAAUGGACUUUAGUUUCAGAUCAUGUACUCAUGCAGGCAGAACCAUUUGAACUUGAUUCUUUGAGUCCUGGAACAUGGUAUCGUCUUCAUAUUACUGCACAUAAUGAUGCUGGCUCAACUCAGGCUGAAUAUUCUUUCAGCACAAGCAUAAUGAAUGAUGCUGUUGACUUGAUUACACCAAUCAUCAGACGCCCUGCACCUUUUUACACGAACCUGGCUAUUAUUGCUCCUGUAGUUGUUACUAUUAUGAUUUUAAUAUCUGUACUCAUUGUUGUUUGUGCUCUCAGUAAACGUAGAAGGAAUGGAGAUAGACAGUAUGAAGAUGCUCAGAGUGUGAGAAAAGAGAUAAAUCCUGAAGCAGUACAGAUGUCAGAAUAUGAGGUAAAGCAAGAUGGAACAUAUGUACAAGCAAAGGAUUCGUCAUUAUAUUUUCCAUCUCCAUAUGCAACAAGCAGAGUGCCAGUAUUCUCUUUAGAUGAAAGAAGUUCGGGAGAAAGUAGUACAGAUGGCCGAUCCACAUUACGGGAUAUGGAAAGGCCAUACGAUGUUCCAUUCGCAGUAAAACAAUCAAGCAAUACAAAGCAUAUAAAAGGAGGGAAGUCCUUAACUCAAUCAGAAGUGGAGCAUAUGUACAGCUUUCCAAAUCGGCCAUCAAGUGGACAUCAUCAAACAACAGGAUCUCAUCGAAAAGAAUCUAUGUCUGGUCGACGUUGGUCUGCUGAUGUUGAUGAUGACUACAUACCAGACAACAAUGAUUCCAGACCUAGAUCAACUGCCAUUUCUUCCAGCAGAUGGCACUGCGGUACCAAACAAGGUAUGAGGAUGAGGAGUGGGGAAGCCCCUUUCAUUUAUCCGGAACACGUGACGUAGGGGAAAGUAGUGAUGCAGAAUGUGACAGGGACCAGAUUUUAUACGUCCAUACUGACACAGGUUCCUUUUUAAGUGCUAAAUUGCCGUACCAUAUCGCCUUGGGAAAACAAGUCAUAUUUCCAUCAAGGGCUCAUAUUGAAGCUUAAACUGUGCAUUUCAGGAAAUUAUAUACAUGAAAGAAAGUAUUUAUACGUGAAAAACGGCUUCCAGGAAGAAGAAAAAAAACGUCAUUUUAUAACAUUUGUAUAUAGCUUAGAGAAUAAGAAAUGUUUUGUCAUAAUAAAUAUUAUGUUUUUAUGUCUAUGUUGAUGAAAGAAGAUAAGUGUUUGUAAAUUUAUAAAUUUAAAUGUUGUGUUAUCAAAGGAGCUGUGAUCAAAAAAUGUUAUAAGAAUAACAGAGUUGAGUAAUUGAUUAUGAAAUAUAAUACAUUACAAUAAAAUAAAUUGCAUCCAGAUUUAUAUUCAUUAUUUUACAAGUUUAUUUCCGAUUAAUGUA
rnacentral:misc_RNA from 1 species